rnacentral:tRNA from 1 species
GGCGGAUGAGCCAAGNGGAUAAAG